GAUGAACGCUGGCGGCGUGCCUAACACAUUCAAGUCGAACGGAGUUAUUACGAAUGAAGUUUCGGAUGGAUUUUGUUUAACUUAGUGGCGAACGGGUGAGUAACACGUGAGCAACCUGCCCUUGAGUGGGGGACAACAGUUGGAAACGACUGCUAAUACCGCAUAAUAUCACGAGGAGGCAUCUCCUUGUGAUCAAAGAUUUAUUGCUUAAGGAUGGGCUCGCGUCCGAUUAGAUAGUUGGUGAGGUAACGGCUCACCAAGUCGACGAUCGGUAGCCGGACUGAGAGGUUGAUCGGCCACAUUGGGACUGAGACACGGCCCAGACUCCUACGGGAGGCAGCAGUGGGGAAUAUUGGGCAAUGGGGGAAACCCUGACCCAGCAACGCCGCGUGAAGGAAGAAGGCUUUCGGGUUGUAAACUUCUUUUACCAGGGACGAAGAACGUGACGGUACCUGGAGAAAAAGCAACGGCUAACUACGUG
rnacentral:rRNA from 1 species